rnacentral:rRNA from 1 species
CGGAGCAUGCGGAUUAAUUCGAUGCAACGCGAAGAACCUUACCAAGGCUUGACAUGAACCGGUAAUACCUGGAAACAGGUGCCCCGCUUGCGGUCGGUUUACAGGUGGUGCAUGGUUGUCGUCAGCUCGUGUCGUGAGAUGUUGGGUUAAGUCCCGCAACGAGCGCAACCCUCGUUCUAUGUUGCCAGCGCGUUAUGGCGGGGACUCAUAGGAGACUGCCGGGGUCAACUCGGAGGAAGGUGGGGACGACGUCAAAUCAUCAUGCCCCUUAUGUCUUGGGCUUCACGCAUGCUACAAUGGCCGGUACAAAGGGUUGCGAUACUGUGAGGUGGAGCUAAUCCCAAAAAGCCGGUCUCAGUUCGGAUUGGGGUCUGCAACUCGACCCCAUGAAGUCGGAGUCGCUAGUAAUCGCAGAUCAGCAACGCUGCGGUGAAUACGUUCCCGGGCCUUGUACACACCGCCCGUCAAGUCACGAAAGUUGGUAACACCCGAAGCCGGUGGCCUAACCCUUGUGGGGGGAGCCGUCGAAGGUGGGACCGGCGAUUGGGACUAAGUCGUAACAAGGUAGCCGUACCGGAAGGUGCGGCUGGAUCACCUCCU